CGGAGGUAAGAAAAAUAUAGGUAAAAUUCAAUCAUAGCAGAAUCCAUCAAUGUUGUAAACCGAUAAUAAGCCUUAGGAGGAUCCAUAAGUCCAACUAUCUGUAGUGACUGCGCAGUGAUUACGGUAAAAAGGAGCAACCACACAAUUCUGUCCAAGAUGUAUACUAUCAACUGGAAAAUGUGAAUUUGUAGUGUUCAGAAGAAAAGUUCGACGAGAAUUUACAUAUACAGGAAUAUAGGAAGAAAUAUCGGGUGAAAAGUCUUCUUUUUGGUCUCAGAUAGAGUUCUCUAUUGAGUACUGCCAAGCUUUCGGCCAUUUGCAUGGCCAUCCUCAGGG